rnacentral:misc_RNA from 1 species
GGGGAGGUGAAAAUCCACGUUGUAUUGAUCUGCCUCUACGGGAGGUGAAAAUCCACAUUGUGAUAGAAAGAAAGCUUGUUUGAGUCUCUUUGACACCGUUUCAGGAGUCAAGGAAGAUGAAUUUUCUCCCUGAAGUUAGGGAUCUUUCUAGGUGUUUGCCAUUCAUGCAUGGCGGAUCAAGAUCGGUACACCGUGGGCGGUAGAAAAUAGAAAUAUUCCCAGUAGCGCGAGUUAUAAGAAUUUCCCAUUUCAUUAACCUAUGGCACCUUUUGCGCUUAUGCUAGACCUAGCCCUGUCUUGUAAGAGCAUCUACUUGCUUUACAUUGUGUGGGAACCAAUCGUUUUAUGUGCUGUCCUCAAAAUGUUUAGUUUCUUACCCUCUUUUGCCUAGUCCAAAUUAGCAGCAGCUGCAGCAAGUUUCUACAUCAAGCUUAGAAUUAGAUUUAGAUAUUUUGUAGCUUACAAUGUUAUGUAACAUUUCAUUUAUUCUUCCAAUUUUAAAACACACUAAAACGUGAUCACUUUAAAAAAAUUCCAACUCAUUAAUUUCAAGAGAGAUCACUGAUAGUGUUGUACCAUGUAAUGACCGUAAAUUUUUAUGGUUAACCAUGUCUAGAGGAUUGGAAAGAAAU